rnacentral:rRNA from 1 species
UACGGAGGGUGCAAACGUUGCUCGGAAUUAUUGGGCGUAAAGGGCUCGUAGGCGGUUCGUCACGUCGGGAGUGAAAACUCGGAGCUUAACUCCGAGCCUGCUUCCGAUACGGGCAGACUAGAGGUAGGCAGGGGAGAGCGGAACUCCUGGUGUAGCGGUGGAAUGCGCAGAUAUCAGGAAGAACACCCGUGGCUAAGGCGGCUCUCUAGUACGGUACUGACGCUGAGACGCGAAAGCGUGGGGAGCGAACAGG